rnacentral:misc_RNA from 1 species
UCCCGGUUAACCCGGGCAGUCUCACUAGAGUGCUCAACUUAAUGGUAGCAACUAAUAAUAAGGGUUGCGCUCGUUGCAGGACUUAACCUAACAUCUCACGACACGAGCUGACGACAACCAUGCACCACCUGUCUUCCUGCCCCGAAGGGCUUCAUGCAUCUCUGCACUAUUCAGGAGAUGUCAAGUCCAGGUAAGGUUCUUCGCGUUGCUUCGAAUUAAACCACAUGCUCCGCUGCUUGUGCGGGCCCCCGUCAAUUCCUUUGAGUUUUAAUCUUGCGAUCGUACUUCCCAGGCGGAGUACUUAUUGUGUUAACUGCGGCACAGAAGGUUGGACCCCCCUACACCUAGUACUCAUCGUUUACGGCGUGGACUAC